GAUGAACGCGGCGGCGUGCUUAACACAUGCAAGUCGAACGGGAUCCCGGGGGUUCGCCUCCGGGUGAGAGUGGCGAACGGGUGAGUAAUGCGUGACCGACCUGCCCCAUACACCGGAAUAGCUCCUGGAAACGGGUGGUAAUGCCGGAUGCUCCGGUUGGAUGCAUGUCCUUCCGGGAAAGAUUCUAUCGGUAUGGGAUGGGGUCGCGUCCUAUCAGCUUGAUGGCGGGGUAACGGCCCACCAUGGCUUCGACGGGUAGCCGGCCUGAGAGGGCGACCGGCCACAUUGGGACUGAGAUACGGCCCAGACUCCUACGGGAGGCAGCAGUGGGGAAUAUUGCACAAUGGGCGCAAGCCUGAUGCAGCGACGCCGCGUGCGGGAUGGAGGCCUUCGGGUUGUAAACCGCUUUUGAUCGGGAGCAAGCCCUUCGGGGUGAG
rnacentral:rRNA from 1 species